rnacentral:lncRNA from 1 species
AGAGCCCCAACCAGACUGUCUGGUGAAUCUGGACAAGAUGGCCCUUCUGAGUCAGUCUGGACUUCAGACUGAGGCGCACUCCCAGAAUCCUUUUGUUUCUUCUUCUUGCCAAAUUCCUUCCUAGAACGUCCAACUCACUGUUGAAUAGAAGUAUCUAUUGAAGGUAGUAUUCUCAUCUUCCUAUUCAUCUGUGGGCUUUCGUGGAUGCCCUCUAUCGGCAGGAGGUAUGUUCCUUCUUGAUCCUCCCUCAACAACUGUUUUCCUUAUGAAGAGGUACUAGAUUUAUGUACCCCAUACUUUGUGUGUCUAUUGGGAUGGCCAAGUGUUUUUUAAACAUUUAUCUC